UUAAAUAAAUAUGAAGUAGAAGAACCCAGAUUCCAAAUGAACAAAUUCAAACUUGAAAAGGAUCUUCCUUAUUCUUGAAGAAUGAGGGGCAACGGGAUUGAUCAAGAAAGAUCUUUUGUUCUUCUUAUAUAUAAAAUCGUGAUUGGAUCCGCAUAUGUUUGGUAAAGAGAAUAAUCUUAUCCUUUGAGAAUAAUAAAAAAUGAACA
rnacentral:lncRNA from 1 species